AUCCAGAUUAUCAUAAUCUAUUAUGGUUCCAAACAUGGCCUAAAUAGUUAUAAUUGAAAACAACUAAUUUAUUCUUUAUAGGACAUCAUAAAAUAGCAUCCGAGCACAGGUGUCUCAUGAAAAGAGACUGUCUUGCAAGGGACAUGUGGCAAAAAAAAAAUUCCUUGUACAAGCCACACAUGUUUUCUACCUUGAGUUGAGGGUGUGACCCACCAUAUAUACAUCAAAUGUAUCACGUAAAUCCAUUUUGGACCUGUUGCCCUCGACUUAAGAUGUUGUCUUGAAGCACCGGUAUAGCCUCCGAUGAUCUGGAUUUCAUUGGUUGGGCUAGGCCAAUAAUAAUGAGGUGAACUCGGUGAUGGAAUCAUUUGUACGGGCCUACACAAGCUGGAUUCAAGCAA
rnacentral:lncRNA from 1 species